UUUGGAAAGACGGCUUUGCUGUCACUUAUCGAUGGCCUUGCGGUGCAUUAGCUCGUUGGUGGGGUAACGGCCUACCAAGGCAAUGAUGCAUAGCCGACCUGAGAGGGUAAUCGGCCACAUUGGGACUGAGACACGGCCCAAACUCCUACGGGAGGCAGCAGUAGGGAAUCUUCCGCAAUGGGCGCAAGCCUGACGGAGCAACGCCGCGUGAGUGAAGAAGGUUUUCGGAUCGUAAAGCUCUGUUGUAAGAGAAGAACAAAUUGGAGAGUAACUGCUCCAGUCUUGACGGUAUCUUACCAGAAAGCCACGGCUAACUACGUGCCAGCAGCCGCGGUAAUACGUAGGUGGCAAGCGUUGUCCGGAUUUAUUGGGCGUAAAGGGGGCGCAGGCGGUUUCUUAAGUCUGAUGUGAAAGCCCACGGCUUAACCGUGGAAGUGCAUUGGAAACUGGG
rnacentral:rRNA from 1 species